AGGACCGGGAUGGACGAACCUCUGGUGUGUCAGUUGUUCUGCCAAGAGCACCGCUGAUUAGCUACGUUCGGACGUGAUAACCGCUGAAAGCAUCUAAGCGGGAAGCACACUUCAAGAUGAGGUUUCCAUGAGAACAUUGUUCUUGAGAGGCUCCCAGCUAGACUACUGGGUUGAUAGGCCGGAUGUGGAAGCACAGCAAUGUGUGAAGCUGACCGGUACUAAUAAGCCGAUGACUUAAACCAAUCAACAAAG
rnacentral:rRNA from 1 species